CUCAUAUUGUUUAAUGCCAACCUGGACAACUUUGGUGGAAGGGACCCAUGCAAAACAGCGGCUGGGUUUCCCAUUACAGAAUGUAUGGCAAUGAUUACAACUUAAUCUUGUUUCUCAAACCUUCUCCCUUUUCAUUCUUCCUUGUUCAGUAGGUCUUGGGAGAAGGUAUUGACUCCUACCCAGUUUACCCUGUUGGUUUCUAUUUCCUUCACUGUGCAGCUCUGCUUGUCGCAAGACAGGUGUUUACAUUCCACAGCCUGUACUGUUGGAGUUUCUCACGGGAAAGGGAGACUGGAUGUGACGUACACUGGUUUCCUGUUUUUCACUGUGUUUCUCUCCAAGCUGUCGAGGAGAGAGGAUGCAUUUUUCUGCUCCGGCACAGAGGCAAGAUGUCUUUCUGUAAUAUACCAGCUUUGAACUGUAAAUAAAGCAAUACAGAGUAUGCAGCACGUAUCCUCAUCCUUCCGCUGGCCACGACAGACUCUGCUUUAAAUCAACACGUGGUUAUGGACUCCAGGAGGUCGAAUCGGAGUGCCGGCAGAGGAUCGGAAUGCAGAGGGACGGAUCGGAAAGGAAUCUGCUCUGCGCGUAGAAGUGAUUGAUGAGGUAUGUGCUACUGCUCCGGGCAGCCUGCCAGCUUCAAGAUAAUGGCUUUAUGGCUGGACUUUGAACUUUUAAAGCCGGUUUUGCCGGGAAUAGGCAAAAGGCUCCCAGGCACAAGUCACUAUGCUGGGGAAAUCGAAAGUAACUUUUAAGUGUGCCUUUGUAAUAAGGCAGCUGCAGCAGUGACGCAGCAAGAUUUAAAGCAGCAUAGAUAUGACGCUGAAGGCUAAUGCCAGAGUCAUGAUGGCCCUUCAGGAUGCUUGUGGGAUUCCUAAGCUCAACAAGAAAAAUUACAGCGACUGGGUUCAGUAUGCAGAGGCAAUUCUGCGGAAAGAGGGUUUGUUUGAGGUGAUUACAGGAACCCCCCCAGUUCCUGUUACAGAUGCAUGGGACGCUGAGGCUUCCAAAGCAAGGGAACUCUUACAUUGAUAGUAUCCCCAGAAGAGCUCUGUCUAUUGCGUGAUAAGACCUCAGCCAGAGAAAUUUGGGACGCUCUGAGAGAGGCUCACUUAAGGACAGAAGCUGGAUCCACUAUGUUUUAUUUUAACAAGCUGCAUAAUAUGGCUCUUGCUGAAGGUGGAGAUGUGCGUUUACAUCUGAUGCAGAUGCAAAAUCUGAGACAUGAGCUGCAACAGAGAGGACUCCACUUUCCAGAGGCUGUGUAUUCUUUCAUGAUACUACAAUCUUUGGGUUCAGGUUGGGAGUCUGUUGCAACCCAGAUUGCUGUGCAACCAACUGCUCAGCUGACAGUGGACUUUGUUACUGCCGUGAUUUUAAAUGAAGCAGAUCGCCGGGGUGCUAGCUGCAUGGGCAAGGAGAGUCUUCACAGACGUCAUCCCAUAGUGCAGUGGAACCACCAGAUGGCGCCAAAGCUUUGAAGGCAGUGAAAUGCUACUCGUGUGGACGUCUAGGCCAUAUGAAGAGGGAAUGCAGACAUCCCAGGGCCAAGACAGAGCAGCGCAGCGAAGCUCAUCGCGCGGAAAAGGCCGAGGCAAAGGCAAAGGUCCGGUGUCUAGGACAACGCAGCACAAGGCUAUGGUUUCACGCUUCACUCCAAAGGUUGCAGAGGUCCAGAAGACGUCUAGAUCUUUCUUCGUUGUUGAUUCAGCGGCCACCCACCACAUGUGCAACGAUAAGAAACUGUUUGUGUCUUUUACACCGCAGGAAGGUGCGAUUCACCAGGCGGAUGACCACACUAUUCCCAGUAAAGGCUACGGAACUGUUGUUCUUCACAGUUUGGACUUAUCGAUACAGAAUGUGCUUUACGUGCCAGACGCCAAACAUAAUCUGCUCAGCGUUGGACAGCUGAAUGAGCGGAACAUUGACGUUUCCUUCAAGAACAAGAAGUGCAUCAUCACAAAGAAAAAUGAUUAUGUAUUGCAUGCAGAAUAUGUUGAUCAUUUGUUUGUUUUGUAUUAUGAUGAUGUGGUGCAGGAUGACACUUGUUGCAUUGCAGGUUCUAACAAAAGUUUGCAUGCAGAAUGUAUUCACGAUUUUCAUCGCAAAUUUGGUCAUUUGCAUUUUGAGGCAGUAUCUAAAAUGCCUGCCUUGGUUGAAGGUAUGACUAUUAAACCCUGCAGGUACCACAUGAAGUGCAAAGCAUGCGCAGCAAACAAAGUGAAAAUGGCUGCGGAAGGUAAGGUGUCUAGUAGGAAAGCUACAGAACCAUACCAGGUUGUUCAUGCUGAUUUGGUUGGACCACUAUCGCCCUCUUUGGGUGGAAAUAGAUACUUCAUGGUUCUCAUUGAUGCAUUUUCUAGAUAUAUUUUUGUGUACAAUCUCAAGCAGAAAUCGGAGGCUUUUCCUAGGUUCAAGGAAUUCUGUGCUUGGUUGGAAAAUGUGCAUGGUAAGAAGAUAAAGACUCUUUUCAGUGAUCGCGGGGAAUUCACUUCUCAGCAGUUUGAAGCUUUUCUGACUGAGAAAGGAAUUCAACACGAUUUGUCUAGUCCUCGCUCGCCAUGGCAGAAUGGACUUGCGGAACGGGCAAAUCAGACAUUGCUUCAAGGGUUAAAGACCUUGCUGCAUGAUGCCAAUCUUCCAGAGAGUUAUUGGGCCGAAUCUCUCUCGUGUUUUGUUUACAGUUACAAUCGCAGAUUAUCUUCAGCGAUUGGUUGUACCCCCUAUGAGAAGAUGUUUGGCAAGAAGCCAUACAUCAAACACAUGAAGAUUUUUGGUUCUGACAUGUGGGUUCGCUCACCACAAAACUCCAAGUUAGACAAGCGUGGAUUGCAUGGUAUCUUUCUAGGUUAUCAGAAAGGGUCUUACAGAAUAAUGAUGACUGACUCUAAGACAAUUAAGCUCACGAGAAGUGUUGAGUACAAUGCAAAGUGGGGGAGAAUGUGGGAAUUUUCCAAUGUUAUCCUGAUGACGGUGAUGAGACUGAGGAUAGUCAAAAGCAACCACAACAACCCACACCCACUGAUGAAGGUUCUGAGUCUGAAUCUGAAACUGAAUCGGGUGAUUCAGAGGAUUUCAAGAGUGCGAAAGCCUCUAUGCGACCCUCUGAAAGCUCUGAUCAAGAAUUGGAGGAACCAUUGUUCACAAUAGGUCGUUUUUCUCCUAAGAAGGAAGAGGAGAGUGUUGAAGACUUAAGGCUAAUUCGUAGGUCACAGAGAGCUACAAAAGGCAAACCUCCAAAGAGAUUUGCUGAUGAGUUUGCUAAGAUAGCAGUAACAGCUGUUAAAAGCUCCAAGAAGGUAUUUGAACCUUCAAGUUUCCAAGAAAUCCAGGGUUUGGAUUCAAAGGAAGCUGAGCCAUGGUUAAAUGCCAUGAAGGCUGAGCUUGAUUCCUUAGAAAGGAACAAAACAUGGGAGCUAGUUCCAGUAGUUCCAGGAAUGAAACUGCUUGGAAGCAAAUGGGUCUUCAAAGCGAAGACAGAUCAAAAUGGCAAGAUAGUCAGACACAAAGCCAGAUUGGUAGCCAGAGGUUUUGCACAGGUACCAGGUGAAGACUAUCACGAGACCUAUUCACCCACAGUGAGAUAUGAAAGCAUUAGGCUUAUGCUCAAGCUAGCUGCAGAGGAAAAUCUACACAUUAGUCACCAUGAUAUUAAUACAGCUUUUCUGUACGGAUCUCUAGAUGAAUCACUUUAUAUGCUUCCACCUGAUGGCGUACAGGUAAAACAGGGAUUUGUUUGUGCUCUGAAGAAAUCCCUUUAUGGUCUCAAACAAAGUGCACGGUGUUGGCACACAAAACUCACUGAAGUAUUGUUUUCUCUAGGUUUUCAGCAAGGGAAAGCUGAUCCAUGUGUAUUUGUCAAAGAGGAGGGGCAAAAGAAACUGUACUGUUUGUUUUAUGUUGAUGAUUUAUUAUUCUUUUGGAAAGAUGUUGCAAUGUACAAUAGCGCCCUAGCUCAACUGAAAGAGCACUUUGACAUGAAAGAUCUUGGUGAGGUAAACAACUACCUAUCUCUGGAAAUAGAGAGAGAUCAAGAUGGUAACAUUCUAGUACACCAGUCACGGAAAAUUGCUGAUGUGUUAAGCAAACUAAAUCUGAUGGAUGCUAACCCUGUAGACACACCGAUGACAACAGGUUAUCAGGUAGAUGACACUGAAGAAGCAUUUUCUGACACUACACUGUACAGGAGUGUGCUAGGCAAGCUAAACUUCAUUGCCAGAUGUUCAAGACCAGACAUUGCUGUUAGCUGUAAUUUGCUAAGCAGACAAGUCAACAAUCCUAGUGUCAAGGAUUGGAAAGCUCUGAAACGCAUAGCGCGGUAUUUGAAAGGCACUAUGCAUUACAGACUGAGAUUUAACAAUCAGAAGUCUGGUGGUCUUGAGAUAUUUGCAGAUGCAAGUUUUGGAAGUGACGCUACAGACAGGAAAAGUACGUCUGGAGUUUGCUACAUGUACAAUCAGAGUCUGUUUGAUUGGUCAUGCAAGAAGCAAACAACAGUUAGCUUAAGUACUUGUGAAGCUGAACUGAAUGCACUGUCUUAUUCACUUAAGGAUUGUGAAUGGUUAGUACAAUUGUGCAAAGAUAUGAAAAUUCCUGUCAAAUGUCCAAUCCAGGUUUACCAGGACAACAAAGCAUGUUUGGCUUUGCUGAAGUCUGAAGGUUGUAAGCAAAGCACAAAGCACUUACAAUUAAAGUUGCAGCAUGCUAGGGAAUGUAUUCAGAAGGGACUCGUAACGGUGUCCUAUAUGCCAGGUAAUGAAAUUCCUGCUGAUGUAUUGUCCAAGAUUGUAUCAAGGGAUCAACACUGUACCUAUGUGCAGAAGUUGGGUUUGUACUGAUAUUGUACGAACACGCUGCCCAGUGAUGUUCACAGAAAGGGGAGGAUGUUGGUUUCUAUUUCCUUCACUGUGCAGCAUCUGCUAGUCACAAGACAGGUGUUUACAUUCCACAGUCUGUACUGUUGGAGUUUCUCACGGGAAGGGAGACUGGAUGUGACGUACACUGGUUUCCUGUUUUUCACUGUGUGAUUCUCUCCAAGCUGUCGAGGAGAGAGGAUGCAUUUUCUGCUCCGGCACAGAGGCAAGAUGUCUUUCUGUAAUAUACCAGCUUUGAACUGUAAAUAAAGCAAUACAGAGUAUGCAGCACGUAUCCUCAUCCUUCCGCUGGCCACGACAGACUCUGCUUUAAAUCAACAGCUCAUGGAAUCGAUACGUCAUUGUU